rnacentral:misc_RNA from 1 species
AAGUCGUAACAAGGUAACCGUAGGUGAACCUGCGGUUGGAUCAUUAAAAAUUUUAAUAGCCUCUCAUUGUUAGUGUAAGUGGGAGUUGGAGUUUACUCCAUGAGAUACCACCAAGCUCAAUGAAUGUUGGCAUUACAUUUUGUGCACUGUAACGUCUUUGGUGGUUGGGCGGUUUGUUUUUUUGUGACACUCUCGUCUGUCAGCUUGGAUUUAUCAUGAUCCUCGCCGUGGACACGCCACCGUUUGUCUUUACACUUAUGUUUUCAUGAAUUGUCUGACAAAUACUUGUAUUUAUAAUAUAUACAAACAACUUUUGGCAACGGAUCUCUUGGUUCUC